rnacentral:lncRNA from 1 species
GGAGAUCACACCAGCCAAAGGAAAGAAAACUCCUGCAAAAGUUGUUCCUGUGAAAGCCAAGAGUGUGGCCGAGGAGGAGGAAGAUGAUGAGGAUGAUGAAGAUGAAGAGGAGGAUGAAGAUGAAGAAGAUGAAGAGGACGAUGAAGAUGAGGAUGAGGAAGAAGAGGAAGAACCUGUUAAAGCAGCACCUGGAAAACGGAAGAAGGAGAUGACCAAGCAGAAAGAAGCCCCUGAAGCCAAGAAACAGAAAAUAGAAGGCUCAGAACCAACUACACCUUUCAACCUGUUCAUUGGAAACCUUAAUCCAAACAAGUCUGUUGCUGAAUUAAAAGUUGCCAUCAGUGAACUUUUUGCUAAAAAUGAUCUUGCUGCUGUGGAUGUCAGAACUGGUACAAAUAGGAAAUUUGGUUAUGUUGAUUUUGAGUCUGCUGAAGACCUAGAAAAGGCCCUGGAGCUCACUGGUUUAAAAGUGUUUGGCAAUGAAAUUAAACUAGAAAAACCAAAAGGAAGAGAUAGUAAGAAAGUUCGAGCUGCAAGAACACUUUUAGCCAAAAACCUCUCUUUCAACAUCACUGAGGAUGAAUUAAAAGAAGUGUUUGAAGAUGCUGUGGAGAUCAGAUUAGUCAGCCAGGAUGGGAGAAGUAAAGGGAUUGCUUAUAUUGAAUUUAAGUCUGAGGCUGAUGCAGAGAAAAACUUGGAAGAAAAGCAGGGGGCAGAAAUUGAUGGACGGUCUGUUUCACUCUACUACACUGGAGAGAAAGGACAAAGGCAAGAGAGAACUGGAAAGAAUAGCACUUGGAGUGGUAAGUUAAGGUUUAAUU